GAAUAGCUAUCAAAUUUCUUCUUGUUGUUCUUUCAUGUGUGUUUGUUUCAGGAAAUGCAAAAUUGAGAUGCAUGGAGAGGGAGAGAGAAGCUCUUUUAAGCUUCAAGAAUGGCCUCAUCGAUGAAGAUGGUAUUCUUUCAUCAUGGCAAAGUGACGAAUGCUGCGAAUGGCACGGUGUUGAGUGCAGCAACACCACUGGCCAUGUCAUCACCCUCAAAUGUGAUCAUUGUGGAUUGCAAGGCGAGGUUCGUUCUUCAUUGCUUGAGUUGCAUCAUUUAACUCGUCUUGAUCUCAGUUCGAAUAAUUUUGGAGGCAUUCCAAUCCCAAAAUUCAUUGGUUCCAUGAAACAAUUAGAAUACUUGUCUCUUGGGAGUUGUAACUUACAUGGGAGUAUUCCUCCUCAGUUAGGGAACCUUACCAACCUACGCUCACUUGACCUUCAAGAGAAUGAUUUUGGAGGCACUCCAAUCCCAGAAUUCAUUGGUUUCAUGAAUCAAUUACAAAACUUGUCUCUUUGCUUUUCUAACUUUUCCGGGACUAUUCCUCCUCAGUUAGGUAAUCUUACCAAUCUACUCUCGCUUGACCUUCGUGAGAAUGAUUUUGGAGGUAUUCCAAUACCAGAAUUCAUUGGUUCCAUGAAACAGUUACAAACCUUGUGUCUUUCCAAUUCUAAUUUUUCUGGGAUUAUACCUACUUGUUUAGGGAACCUUACUAAUCUACGCUCACUUGAUCUCUCACAAAACACUUUGAGUUCCAUAGCUCCUUUUACACUUGGUUCUCUAUUUGAAUCACUAGAAUUACUGGACUUGUCUAAUAAUCAAGUCAGUGGAUUGGUGCCACGUGUGAGAGGAUUUCCUUCAUUGACAUAUCUGAAUCUUGGGGGAAAUAACUUUACAGGUUCUAUUCCUCUGAAUAUUGGCCAACUAUCCAUGCUUCAAUAUCUAGAUCUUUCUAAUAAUGAUUUGGAUGGUUUAGUUCCUCUAAGCAUUGGCCAACUAUCCAACCUUCAACGUCUCUAUCUUUCUCAUAAUUCUUUGGAAGGUAUAGUGUCUAAAUUCCACUUUUCCAAGCUUCACAAGUUAGAGGUACUAGAUAUAUCCUUCAAUUCAUUGAUCUUGGAUAUUGCCCCCAAUUGGAGGCCUCCUUUCCAGCUGAGUUAUAUAUCUUUAGGCGGGUGCAAUGUGGGCUCAUAUUUUCCAAAAUGGCUCCAAACUCAGAGGAAUUUGACAUACCUUAAUCUCAAUGAUGCCAAUAUAACAUAUGAAGCCCCAAGGUGGUUGUGGAGUACAUUUCCUCUGUUAAAAGGCUUAUUUCUAUCCCGCAAUCAUUUAAGUGGUACAAUUCCGAAUCUUUCAAACACUUCCAUUUGGUAUACGGAUCUUAGUUACAAUCAAUUCUCAGGUCCUAUACCAUUAUUUCCCCAUGAUCUCUUUGCAAUAAACUUGAGUGGAAAUAAGUUAUCUGCUUCAAUUUCAUCUCUCUGCAACACUCCCCAUUCUGAUCUUGAAUUCUUUGACCUCUCAAAUAAUCAGUUGGCUGGAGAGGUUCCCAAUUGCUGGGAGAAAAUGCCCACCAUGAUGUACCUCAAUCUAGCAAACAACAGUUUUUCGGGCGAAAUUCCCGACUCAUUUGGCUCUUUACCUAACCUCCGUGCACUACAAAUGCAUGGUAAUAAUUUAUCUGGUGAAUUGCCUGAUAGUUUGAGACUUUUCCAAGAAAUGAGUUUACUUGAUUUUGGAGGGAACAAGUUAACCGGAGAGAUCCCCACUUGGAUUGGGCAGAUGUAUAGAAUGGAAUUUCUAAACCUUCGUGGAAAUAAAUUGCAUGGCAGUAUUCCUCCUCAGAUAUGCAAUCUUACUUAUAUUCAAGUUAUUGAUUUGUCGAUAAACAACUUAUCUUCGAUAAUACCAGAUUGCUUCAAUAAUCUCACUUUCUUGGCCAGUACGAAAGUCACCAAUGUUCACUUCCUGAUGGCUAGAACAGGUUUUGGUGAGUAUCCACAAUGGGAGUUUGAGUAUGCAUCAUUUCAGUGGAAAGGUACGGAAUCAGAAUAUAGAAAAAAUCUCAGGCUUCUCAAACUCAUUGAUUUUUCAAGAAAUAGACUGACGGGUAACAUUCCCAGAUCAUUUUCCAAUAUGAGCGGAUUAAAUUCCUUGAAUCUAUCAAGAAAUAGUUUGACAGGGGAUAUAAUUUCAGAUAUUGGUAAAAUGGAGAUGCUAGACUCUCUUGAUCUAUCUCACAACCAACUCUCUGGCGAGAUACCUACAAGUCUGGCACAAAUACACACUCUUGGUGUGCUUGAUUUGUCGAACAACAAUUUGUCCGGGAAAAUUCCAACUGGCACUCAAUUGCAGAGCUUCAAUCCAUCGGCUUAUGCAGAGAAUGAUGGACUAUGUGGCGACCCUCUUCCAAAGUGCUCCGGAGAUAGCAAGCCAUCCACCACAAUUCCGGUGGAAUACAUGAAUGAGAAUGACGUCAGCAUGUUUUCAUUCAUGGAAGAAGUUGGUAUAUCAAUGCCUUUUGGUUUUAUCUUUGGAUUUUCGGGAGUCAUUGGUUCAUUCAUAUUGAAGAAAUCAUGGAGAAUUGCAUUCUUCAAGUUGUAUGAUGUCGCUUGAGACGAAGUUGAGCACUUAUUCCUGGUAAUAUCAACUAUAUUUUCAUGCCCUUAAAUACCUACUUAGGAGUGAAGCUACGCGGUUUAACGUUCAAUCAAGGUCGAACUCAUGGUAAUGGCUGGUGACAUUUCCAAGUUGAUGUAAUUUGGAUUUUCUUUUUCACCUUUUUUUUGUGAAGUGUGUCAAUGUACUUUUACUUUGUUUUAGUUUCUUGCUUUCAUUUGUAAACUCUAUGUUUGGUGUGUAUUUGUUUCUUCUAGAAAUGAAUGUUUAUGUUUUUA